GGCAGACGGGUGAGUAAUGUAUAGGAAUCUACCUAGUAGUACGGAAUAAUUGUUGGAAACGGCAACUAAUACCGUAUACGCCCUACGGGGGAAAAAUUUAUUGCUAUUAGAUGAGCCUAUAUUAGAUUAGUUAGUUGGUGAGGUAAAGGCUUACCAAGACAAUGAUCUAUAGCUGAUCUGAGAGGAUGAUCAGCCACACUGGAACUGAGAUACGGUCCAGACUCCUACGGGAGG
rnacentral:rRNA from 1 species